CUUGCACCGGUGGGGUCCUUCGGCCUGGCCUGCAGGGAUUGGGCCGAAACUGGCAGUCCGACAUCCCCCUAGGGGUCCCGGGUUGAGAGGGUGCAGGCCAGGCUGAGGGACCCCACCGGUGCACG
rnacentral:pre_miRNA from 1 species